CAACCAGGCACCAUCUUGGAAGCAGAGACCAGGCCCUCACCAGACACCAAACCUGCCAGCAUCUUGAUCUUGGACCUCUCAGCCUCCAAAGCUAUGGAGCCCCACUCUGUUGCCCAGACUGGAGUGCAGUGGCGUGAUCUCGGCUCACCGCAACUUCCGCCUCCCGGGUUCAAGUGAUUCUCCUGCCUCAGCCUUCCAACUAGCUGGGAUUGCAGGUGCCUGCCACCUCUCCCUGCUAAUUUUUGUAUUUUUAGUAGAGACAAGAUUUCACCAUGUUGGCCAGGCUGGUCUCAAACUCCCGACCUCAAGUGAUCCACCUGCCUCAGCCUCCCAAAGUGCUGGGAUUACCAGCGUGAGCCACCGCGCUUGGCUUAAAUAUUAUUUAAUACAUGUUAAAAUAUAUGAGCAUUUUAAGAAAGCCAUAAUUUUCAGCAAACUAACACAGGAACAGAAAAGUGAACACUGCAUGUUCUCACUCAUAAGUGGGAGCUGAACAAUAAGAACACAUGGACACAGGGAGCAUCACAAACUGGGGCCUGUUGAUGUGUGGAGGCAAGGGGAGGGAGAGCAUUAGGACAAAUACCUAAUGCAUUCGGGGCUUAAAACCUAGGUGAUGGGUUGAUAGGUGCAGCAAACCACCAUGGCACAAGUAUGCCUAUGUAACAAACCUGCACAUUCUGCACAUGUAUCCCAGCACUUAAAGCAAAAUAAAAAUUAAACAAUUUUAAAAAAAUAUAUGGACAUUUAAAUAAUUUAAAUAUGCUAUGCAAAAGUGCUUAAUAUGUUAAAUUGGCAUAAUUUAUUAGCAUAAUAAAAAUUAUUUUUCACAUUUUAAGUAUAUUUAUACUAGAUGCAGUGAUAUAUAUAAU
rnacentral:lncRNA from 1 species